rnacentral:rRNA from 1 species
GGGAUAGCAAUAUGUCAUCGGCAGACGGGAGAGUAACGCCCUUUACGCGUGCGCGUUUGGAACGGAACAACUCAUAUACACUUCCGCCAGUCCAGAAUUAGCUCUUAAGGCAUGAAAAUUCUCGGCGAAAGAGCGGCCCGCGUCUGACUAACUGGUUGGUGAGGUAAAGGCUCGCCAAGGCGACGAUCAGUAGCUGGCCUGGGCACAUGAUCAGCCACAUUGGGACUGACAAACGCGCCAAACUCCUACGGGAGGUAUCUGCGGGGAAUAUUGGACAAGGCGCACCACCGUGAUCCAGCCAUGCUGCGUGACCGAUGAAGUGCCUAGGCUUGUCUCCCCCUUUUUCUCCCGGGCAGAUCCUCGACGUUACAUUAUUCCUACCCACGCGGCCAACUUCCCAUCCAGUCAACCUGUCGUUAAUUCCCAAUAGGCACCCAGAGCUCCCUCAAACACUCUCUGCGGCGUAAAACGUAGACCGUCUAAUGCCGUCUUUUCAGGGUUUGGCCGCCCUCCUAUUCCUUAAGUACCAACUUCUCCCCCACCUUCCCCUUUCUUCCUCCUCGCCACCCGCCCUGUAAUCCCCCCCCCGUUUUCCUCAUCUCUGUAUCACCCCCCCGUUCACCCCCCCCCAAUUUAACAUUCUUUCGUAUACUUCGCUCUGAGGCAGGCCCUCUCCUGUUAGCUACGCACAAUCCCCCCCUUCUCUUGCAAGCACUUUGCGUCCUCUUCUCCCC